GUGACUGUUCUCUCUCCUUCUCCUUAGAUCUGUUUGGAGACGUGGCGCGUGGGGGGGAUCCCGACCGGCUGCGCGUCAACAGGUAGGUCGGUGCAGCCACUUUUUCUGCAAGGAGCGAAACACUUCCUCAUCCACCUGCGCACUGUGAGUAACUGUCAGCAUGUCGGCCAUCUGCCGAAUCGCUUUUUUCCUCUAUUGUGGAGUGUUUGGAGUCGGCCUACGUAAUCUUUUUCUGAUUCUGAGACCUUCCUCUGUACUAUCUUCACGUGUGAAGUCUGCUACAAGUGUGCAUGCAAGUGUGAAACCCAACAUGCCCCGACUGCUUCGCUGUGCGCUCUUUUCUCAUUCUUCCCGUUUGGUGAGUGUGCACGGCCCACUUCCUAAGUUUGUGUGUCUGUGUUUAUAAUCCAAGGCCAUUCAAUAGCACCACGUGGAUCCAUCCCAUAUCCUGGUUGUCAUGGCUACAGAGGCCACUUAUCACAGAGGGUCCAGCUAGAUCAAACAGGUGUGCAUCCUGACUAUUUCUCUCCCCGACAACUGUUGCUAGGAACCUUUGUGGCACACAAUGCACAGGUGCUUGUCACCGCCGGGGAAAAUCAGCGGGAGCGCAAAAACAGCGCCUAGAUUUCCCAGUGUGAACGGGUGUGUGCGUUUACGCGUGAGGUUUUCCGCUUGAAGUCCUUCUGAGAAACAGUGUGAGGUCUUCUUCUUCUUCUGAGAGGAUCUUUUUUGUGAGAUAAAAGAUAAUCUCGGGGGUCAUCUCCACUUCUGGGGGAGAUGUUCAGCCUGGAAAAUGAAGUAAAUAUUUGUGUUUUAAACAUUUUGGCUCUUUCAGUUUUCUUUUUCCAGCAAACGGACAACAACGUAGAAAUAUCGGGUUUAGUGAAUGACCACACCUUGGUGCUUUGUACAAAAAAA